UUACUCGACUUCUCCCUGAUGCCGUGGGAACAACUUGCGGUCAACGGCUCGAGAAAGUAUAUGGGACUGAGUACUCGGAUAUUCUCCGAAUACCCUUCAGAACAGAGAAAGGAAUCGUACGUAGAUGGAUCUCAAGAUUUGAAGUCUGGCCUUACUUGGAAACUUACACCGAGGUGAGCCAUAUGAACCAUUGAAUUUCUUGCAUUAGUUUACCCCCAUUUCUUUGAUUUCAUUUACCGAGUAUAAUCUCUCUUUGUUUUAAGGAUGUUGCUCAUGAGAUUUCAAAAGAGUUGCAAGGCAAGCCCGAUUUAAUCAUCGGAAACUACAGUGAUGGUAAUAUCGUUGCCUCCUUGCUGGCACAUAAGUUGGGAGUUACACAGGUUUGUUAGAAACUAAUUUACUGGGAUAUUUUUACGUGUUUAUCUUCAAUAUUGUUUUGGUGUAUCGAUUCUAUUUUUCAUUCUAUUGUAGUGUACGAUUGCUCACGCUUUGGAGAAGACAAAGUAUCCAGAUUCCGACAUCUACUGGAAGAAGCUCGAGGAUAAAUAUCAUUUCUCCUGCCAAUUUACAGCUGAUCUUUUCGCUAUGAACCAUACGGAUUUCAUCAUCACCAGUACCUUCCAAGAAAUUGCUGGAAGGUAGAUGUUCGGAUUUGAUAUUUUUGUGUGAAAUGCUUUUCUCUAUAAACCGUUAACAUCGAUAUUCUUAUGAUUUCAGCAAGGACACUGUUGGUCAAUACGAGAGUCACACUGCUUUCACUCUUCCCGGUCUCUACCGUGUUGUUCACGGAAUUGAUGUGUUUGAUCCUAAAUUCAACAUUGUGUCCCCUGGUGCCGACAUGAGCAUAUACUACCCUUACACCGAGGAGAAGAAGAGGUUGAAGCAUUUCCAUUCCGAGAUUGAAGAACUUCUUUACAGCAAAGUUGAAAAUGAAGAACACUGGUGUGUGCUAAACGACCGCAACAAGCCAAUUCUAUUUACAAUGGCAAGGCUGGAUCGUGUUAAGAAUUUAACUGGACUUGUUGAAUGGUACGGGAAGAAUGCUAAGUUGCGUGAAUUGGUUAACCUUGUAGUUGUCGGUGGAGAUCGGAGAAAAGAGUCCAAGGAUUUGGAAGAGAAGGCUGAGAUGAAGAAGAUGUUCGAGCUCAUUGAGAAGUACAAGCUGAACGGUCAGUUCAGAUGGAUAUCAUCCCAAAUGAACAGAGUUAGGAACGGUGAACUUUACCGUUACAUUUGCGACACAAAGGGUGCCUUUGUGCAACCCGCAUUAUAUGAAGCCUUUGGGUUGACUGUCGUUGAGGCCAUGACUUGUGGUUUGCCAACAUUCGCAACUUGCAAUGGUGGACCUGCCGAGAUUAUCGUUCAUGGUAAAUCCGGCUUCAACAUUGAUCCUUACCACGGCGACCAAGCUGCUGAGAUCCUUGUCGACUUCUUUGAGAAAUGCAAGACAGAUCCAUCUUACUGGACCAAGAUCUCCGAGGGAGGUUUGAAACGUAUCGAAGAGAAGUAAGCACUCAUUUUCUUCAUUUCCUCGAUUCUUUUUGCCCAAGUCAACUCCUGUCAUUGUUCUUACAUACCUGCAUGGUUCUGAUCAGGUACACAUGGAAAAUUUACUCUGAGAGACUAUUAACCUUGACCGGUGUCUACGGGUUCUGGAAGCAUGUGUCCAACCUCGACCGCCUCGAGAGCCGUCGUUACCUUGAGAUGUUUUAUGCUCU
rnacentral:lncRNA from 1 species